UACGUAGGGUGCGAGCGUUAAUCGGAAUUACUGGGCGUAAAGCGUGCGCAGGCGGUGAUGUAAGACCGAUGUGAAAUCCCCGGGCUUAACCUGGGAACUGCAUUGGUGACUGCAUUGCUGGAGUAUGGCAGAGGGGGGUGGAAUUCCGCGUGUAGCAGUGAAAUGCGUAGAUAUGCGGAGGAACACCGAUGGCGAAGGCAAUCCCCUGGGCCUGCACUGACGCUCAUGCACGAAAGCGUGGGGAGCAAACAGG
rnacentral:rRNA from 1 species